rnacentral:rRNA from 1 species
AUUGAACGCUGGCGGCAGGCCUAACACAUGCAAGUCGAGCGGAGCGGCGGACGGGUGAGUAAUGCCUAGGAAUCUGCCUGGUUGUGGGGGAUAACGUCCGGAAACGGGCGCUAAUACCGCCUACUAUCAAAUGCGCCUAGGUCGGAUUGGCUAGUUGGUGGGGUAAAGGCCUACCAAGGCGACGAUCCGUAACUGGUCUGAGAGGAUGAUCAGUCACACUGGAACUGCGACACGGUCCAGACUCCUAGGGGAGGCAGCAGUGGGGAAUAUUGGACAAUGGGCGAAAGCCUGAUGCAGCCAUGCCGCGUGUGUGAAGAAGGUCUUCGGAUUGUAAAGCACUUUAAGUUGGGAGGCGUUACCAACAGAAUAAGCACCGGCUAACUCCGUGCCAGCAGCCGCGGUAAUAC